CCUGGUAUAUAUAACGCAAUGGUACCACCUGAAUCCAUUCCGAACUCAGAAGUGAAAUAUUGUAGUGCCGAUGGUAGUGUGAGAUUUACUCAUGUGAGAGUAGGAAAAUACCAGGA
rnacentral:rRNA from 1 species